rnacentral:rRNA from 1 species
GAUGAACGCUAGCUACAGGCUUAACACAUGCAAGUCGAGGGGAAACGAUAGAGAAAGCUUGCUUUUUCUAGGCGUCGACCGGCGCACGGGUGAGUAACGCGUAUCCAACCUGCCCAUCACUUGGGGAUAACCUUGCGAAAGUAAGACUAAUACCCAAUGACGUCCAUAGAAGACAUCUGAAAUGGAUUAAAGAUUUAUCGGUGAUGGAUGGGGAUGCGUCUGAUUAGCUUGUUGGCGGGGUAACGGCCCACCAAGGCGACGAUCAGUAGGGGUUCUGAGAGGAAGGUCCCCCACAUUGGAACUGAGACACGGUCCAAACUCCUACGGGAGGCAGCAGUGAGGAAUAUUGGUCAAUGGGCGAGAGCCUGAACCAGCCAAGUAGCGUGCAGGAUGACGGCCCUAUGGGUUGUAAACUGCUUUUAUAAGGGAAUAAAGUGAGCCUCGUGAGGCUUUUUGCAUGUACCUUAUGAAUAAGGACCGGCUAAUUCCGUGCCAGCCGCCGCCGUAA